UACAGAGGUCUCAAGCGUUGUUCGGAUUCAUUGGGCGUAAAGGGUGCGUAGGUGGCGCCGUAAGUCAGGUGUGAAAUUUCGGAGCUUAACUCCGAAACUGCAUUUGAUACUGCGGUGCUUGAGGACUGGAGAGGAGACUGGAAUUUACGGUGUAGCAGUGAAAUGCGUAGAGAUCGUAAGGAAGGCCAGUGGCGAAGGCGAGUUCCUGGACAGUGACUGACGCUGAGGCAACGAAGGCCAGGGGAGCAAACGGG
rnacentral:rRNA from 1 species